GCACUGCUGAGGAGUCCCAUACUAGGACGAAACGGCCGUCCAGUG
rfam:Schistosoma curassoni strain Dakar, Senegal genome assembly, scaffold: SCTD_contig0002648